rnacentral:lncRNA from 1 species
AGCAAACUAAUCAAAACAGUGUAAAAAACAUGAAAUUGUAUCUGUAAGUGUGUUGGGAUUUUAAAGUUAUUUUUGUGGCAGGGAGCUGUACCUGCUGUUUAUUGGAAUGUCUUUUCUUGGUUGUAGGAUGAGCACUUGGCUGCCUUGUUCCAGAAGCUGGAGGAACCGUUUGUUCUGUUAAGCAGGAGGAUGGGACACUGCAAUAUUUAGAGGAAUUGCUAUCUAUAUUAAUGUGAGCUGCAUAUUUCUCCUAAGCAAGGAGAUGGUCUUCAUCCUCCUUACCACUUCCACCCUUGCCUACCCCAGGGACUGUCUGACAAGAGAUGAAAUUGCUUCUUGUGGCUAUGAAGGUCCAUUAAUGAACAUAAGAGGAAGGACCAUGGAAAGGAGUAUAUCUCUAACCCUAUUCACAGAAGAUUAUGCCAAGCAGGAAUACUGUGUAUAAGAACUAAGUUUCAUUGGAAGAACCUGACUGAGGAAGUGAAAAGGAAAGGAUGGGAAAUAGGAAAACAUUUGAAAAUAAGGCUGUUGACAGACUGGAGAGGAAGGAGGAGAUUGAAAAUUUAAAUUGUGCUACCUGAAACAAUGUAUUUUCAUGGAUACAAAUAUGUCUUUGCCUAUUUAAAAAAGUACUAGUUACUAUGAGGUAGGGUUUAUCCAGGUCAGUUAUGCUACAAUAUGCUUUAGGAAUUUAAUUCCUGGGGAAUUAAAUUGAAAGUUAGUGGUAUGGUUAUUUAAAAACUCAUUAAAAACAAUUUAAAGAGAUAAUUUCACACUGUAAUUGUGUACUUUUCUCCAUUUCCAUUGCUUAUAUAGAUACGUAUUACUUCUUAC